rnacentral:rRNA from 1 species
CCUACGGGGGGCAGCAGUGGGGGAUAUUGGACAAUGGGGGAAACCCUGAUCCAGCGACGCCGCGUGAGUGAAGAAGUAUUUCGGUAUGUAAAGCUCUAUCAGCAGGGAAGAAAGAAAUGACGGUACCUGAGUAAGAAGCCCCGGCUAACUACGUGCCAGCAGCCGCGGUAAUACGUAGGGGGCAAGCGUUAUCCGGAAUUACUGGGUGUAAAGGGAGCGUAGACGGUAAUGCAAGUCUGGAGUGAAAGGCGGGGGCGCAACCCCCGGACUGCUCUGGAAACUGUGUAACUGGAGUGCAGGAGAGGCAGGCGGAAUUCCUAGUGUAGCGGUGAAAGGCGUAGAUAUUAGGAGGAACACCAGUGGCGAAGGCGGCCUGCUGGACUGUAACUGACGUUGAGGCUCGAAAGCGUGGGGAGCAAACAGGAUUAGAUACCCGAGUAGUC